rnacentral:rRNA from 1 species
UACGUAGGCAGCGAGCGUUGUUCGGAAUUACUGGGCGUAAAGAGUGUGUAGGCGGUGCUCCCAGUCUGUUGUGAAAUCUCCCGGCUUAACUGGGAGGGUGCAGCGGAAACUAGAGUGCUAGAGGGUGGGAGAGGUAAGCGGAAUUCCUGGUGUAGCGGUGGAAUGCGUAGAUAUCAGGAGGAACACCUGUGGUGUAGACAGCUUACUGGACCACAACUGACGCUGAGGCGCGAAAGCUAGGGGAGCAAACAGG